GUUUUUAAUUAAAAACGACAUAAAGACGGAAGACGUUCCCUCGUCGAAUAAUUUCUGGCAUUUGUGACAGGGAUGUAGAUAAAUUUAAAGGUGGAAACAUUGGACAUUAAGUGUUUAUGGGAAGCAGUUAUCAACAAUCAGCACGUCCUUCUAAAAUCUACUGGAGAACCCUCCCUAAGUGAAUUUAAUUGUAUUGUUUUCAAAACAAGGAUAACAUGGCGUCAGUAACGUAGUCAGCAGAGCACAAAUGGGGGCUAAGACAGUCUUCUUCUUCAGUCCGUGCAAGAGGCUACUAAAGUGAUGCAGAGAUGAUGAUGCGAUCACACGAAAAUGUCCUUAUCCCCUUUUUACAUAUGUACUGUAGGAAACUUUAUUUUCAUGUAUACAGGGCCGGAAAAUCCACAUGGUCCAUCUGCCUUUACAU